rnacentral:rRNA from 2 species
UAAACUAGGAUUAGAUACCCUAUUAUUAUAAAUGUUUAUUUUUAUACUAAAUUAUUAAUAGUUAUGUUCUUUAAAAUUAAAAAAUUUGGCGGUAUUUUAGUCUUUUCAGAGGAACCUGUCCUGUAAUUGAUAGUCCACGAUUAGGGAUACUUUAUUUAUUAAUUUACAUAUCGUCGUAGUUUGAAUAUUUUAUUAGAAUUAUAAUAUUCAAGAUUUUAUUUUAGAAAAUAUAUCAGAUCAAGGUGUAGUUUAUAAUAAAGAAGAGGUGGGUUACAAUAAAUUUAUUUUUGAAUAAAUUUUUUGAAAAAAUUUUGAAUUUGGAUUUGAAAGUAAUUUUUUGAGUUUUACUAAAAAUGAUUAUAGCUCUAAAAUAUGUACACAUCGCCCGUCGCUCUUAA